UCCCUAAAUUCACUCAGGUAAACAAAUUUCACCCUACCCAAAACCCUCUCCCUUUGUUUCACCCUUUUACCGCAGCUGAUUUUUAAACCCAUCCAAGGCCGCGCCAGAGUACCAGGAGCAUUGGGGCAACUUCUCCUCUGCCUCCAUCGAACGCCGCCCCGCCGUCAACCACGUGCGAAAACAGUCGACCGUCGGGGACCGUUCCAGAAUGCCGCGACGCUCUCAUCCCCCCGUAGCUUCCCCAAUCUUGGCCGCGGCGACGUCGUUCCACCCAGGCACGAGAAACAAGUAGGUUCUCCUACUCAUGGAGGGCGCGCCGCUGCUGGUGCAUGUCGGUGUUGGCAGCGCCCUUGAAACCACCCGACUCUGCUCCAGCCUCGAAACCUUCCUGCACAUAAUCUAUUGUUUCCAUUAAAGCAUUUGGGCCUGUUUCUUGUGAACACACACCAGGAUUGUAUUGCAGAAAAGCCAAUCAAGAUGGAAAAAAAAGUACAACGAUAUUUACCGUUAUCGACGUGUCAUUCCACAUUAUCAUAUUUGUGACUUACAGCUACUAUUGCCGUUGACAGAAAUUGUUAGAGUUGCGAUGCUCGCUCAGCUAUAUUCAUGAUAUAAUGAGUACACUAACUAAAAACAACUUCAUUGAGAAGCUUGUGGAGAUUGAUGAAAUCGGAUUCUUGAGGCUUGUUCCAAAUUGGUCGGUGAAGCAGGCCAUCAUGUUUGUCAAUUGUUGCUGUUGCUGAAAUUGUGAAGUUGCUGAUGGCUUUAUCCAAACUUUUAAGUGCAUGUUCCUUCUGAUAUGCAUUAGGAUGUUUCUUUUGAUUGGUACUUGGAUGCUACUCGAUAUGUUUUCCGAGUUAUCACGUGCAAUGCAUUUGCGGGUGCGUGUACUUCACUGAGGAGUGAAUUACUUUUGUUUUCUUAGAUAUUACUCAGCAAGUUUCAUGUGUUAAGAAUUUGCGAUUGUCAAGCAAUUAGUUCUCAAAUUGUGGAUGUCUCUAGUUCAUUAAGCAAUACAUUGCCUUAUUAUA